CACUUAUAGAAGUGGGAAGUGGAGAACAGAGAAGCUUCAUGUAUGAUUUGGUGGGAAAACUUGUGCCUUGGUAUUUCAACUUCCCACCUAUGAUGCUUCUUCCUUACAAAGCUUUCUUUCUAUAUGCAGUAUAGGGACUAGUUGCAGGGGAUCAUAGCUAAAAGACUAAUUAUCAGCUAAAAUAAGGUUCUUACUUGUGAUCAGUGACAGAAGUCAG
rnacentral:misc_RNA from 1 species